rnacentral:pre_miRNA from 12 species
AGGCUCCUCAUUAAGGUGGGUGGAAUAGUAUAACAAUAGCACGUUGUUAUAAUAUCCCACCUACCCUGAUGUGUCU